AGUGGCGBACGGGUGCGUAACGCGUAUGCAACUUGCCCYNGASGGGGGGAUARCAGCGCGAAAGUGCUGYUAAUACCGCAUGAUGCAGCGGCAGCAAAAGCUGACAGUUGUUAAAGAUUAAUCGSUUUGGGMGAGGCGUGCGUGYGAUUAGCUAGUUGGNGGGGUAACGGCCCACCAAGGCGACGAUCRCUAGCUGGUCUGAGAGGAUGAUCAGCCACACUGGCACUGAGACACGGGCCAGACUCCUACGGGAGGCAGCAGUAGGGAAUAUUGGGCAAUGGGCGCAAGCCUGACCCAGCCAUGCCGCGUGCGGGAAGAAGGCCCUCUGGGUUGUAAACBGCUUUUCUUBGGGGAUAAGGCCGCCUUAGGGGCGGAUUGAAGGUACCGAAGGAAUCAGCACCGGCUAACUACGUGCCAGCAGCCGCGGUAAUACGUAGGGUGCAAGCGUUGUCCGGAUUUAUUGGGUUUAAAGGGUGCGUAGGUGGCUGUUUAAGUCAUGGGUGAAAGCCCACAGCUCAACUGUGGAACUGCCUGUGAUACUGAAUAGCUUGAGUGCGGUUGAGGCAGCUGGAAUUGGUGGUGUAGCGGUGAAAUGCAUAGAUACCACCAGGAACACCGAUUGCGAAGGCAGGUUGCUAAGCCGUAACUGACACUGAGGCACGAAAGCGUGGGGAUCAAACAGGAUUAGAUACCCUGGUAGUCCACGCUGUAAACGAUGAUGACUCGMUGU
rnacentral:rRNA from 1 species